GGGUUGUGAGGUUAAGCGACUAAGCGUACACGGUGGAUGCCCUGGCAGUCAGAGGCGAUGAAGGACGUGCUAAUCUGCGAUAAGCGUCGGUAAGGUGAUAUGAACCGUUAUAACCGGCGAUUUCCGAAUGGGGAAACCCAGUGUGAUUCGUCACACUAUCAUUAACUGAAUCCAUAGGUUAAUGAGGCGAACCGGGGGAACUGAAACAUCUAAGUACCCCGAGGAAAAGAAAUCAACCGAGAUUCCCCCAGUAGCGGCGAGCGAACGGGGAGCAGCCCAGAGCCUGAAUCAGUGUGUGUGUUAGUGGAAGCGUCUGGAAAGGCGCGCGAUACAGGGUGACAGCCCCGUACACAAAAAUGCACAUGCUGUGAGCUCGAUGAGUAGGGCGGGACACGUGGUAUCCUGUCUGAAUAUGGGGGGACCAUCCUCCAAGGCUAAAUACUCCUGACUGACCGAUAGUGAACCAGUACCGUGAGGGAAAGGCGAAAAGAACCCCGGCGAGGGGAGUGAAAAAGAACCUGAAACCGUGUACGUACAAGCAGUGGGAGCACGCUUAGGCGUGUGACUGCGUACCUUUUGUAUAAUGGGUCAGCGACUUAUAUUCUGUAGCAAGGUUAACCGAAUAGGGGAGCCGAAGGGAAACCGAGUCUUAACUGGGCGUUAAGUUGCAGGGUAUAGACCCGAAACCCGGUGAUCUAGCCAUGGGCAGGUUGAAGGUUGGGUAACACUAACUGGAGGACCGAACCGACUAAUGUUGAAAAAUUAGCGGAUGACUUGUGGCUGGGGGUGAAAGGCCAAUCAAACCGGGAGAUAGCUGGUUCUCCCCGAAAGCUAUUUAGGUAGCGCCUCGUGAAUUCAUCUCCGGGGGUAGAGCACUGUUUCGGCAAGGGGGUCAUCCCGACUUACCAACCCGAUGCAAACUGCGAAUACCGGAGAAUGUUAUCACGGGAGACACACGGCGGGUGCUAACGUCCGUCGUGAAGAGGGAAACAACCCAGACCGCCAGCUAAGGUCCCAAAGUCAUGGUUAAGUGGGAAACGAUGUGGGAAGGCCCAGACAGCCAGGAUGUUGGCUUAGAAGCAGCCAUCAUUUAAAGAAAGCGUAAUAGCUCACUGGUCGAGUCGGCCUGCGCGGAAGAUGUAACGGGGCUAAACCAUGCACCGAAGCUGCGGCAGCGACGCUUAUGCGUUGUUGGGUAGGGGAGCGUUCUGUAAGCCUGUGAAGGUGUGCUGUGAGGCAUGCUGGAGGUAUCAGAAGUGCGAAUGCUGACAUAAGUAACGAUAAAGCGGGUGAAAAGCCCGCUCGCCGGAAGACCAAGGGUUCCUGUCCAACGUUAAUCGGGGCAGGGUGAGUCGACCCCUAAGGCGAGGCCGAAAGGCGUAGUCGAUGGGAAACAGGUUAAUAUUCCUGUACUUGGUGUUACUGCGAAGGGGGGACGGAGAAGGCUAUGUUGGCCGGGCGACGGUUGUCCCGGUUUAAGCGUGUAGGCUGGUUUUCCAGGCAAAUCCGGAAAAUCAAGGCUGAGGCGUGAUGACGAGGCACUACGGUGCUGAAGCAACAAAUGCCCUGCUUCCAGGAAAAGCCUCUAAGCAUCAGGUAACAUCAAAUCGUACCCCAAACCGACACAGGUGGUCAGGUAGAGAAUACCAAGGCGCUUGAGAGAACUCGGGUGAAGGAACUAGGCAAAAUGGUGCCGUAACUUCGGGAGAAGGCACGCUGAUAUGUAGGUGAAGCGACUUGCUCGUGGAGCUGAAAUCAGUCGAAGAUACCAGCUGGCUGCAACUGUUUAUUAAAAACACAGCACUGUGCAAACACGAAAGUGGACGUAUACGGUGUGACGCCUGCCCGGUGCCGGAAGGUUAAUUGAUGGGGUCAGCGCAAGCGAAGCUCUUGAUCGAAGCCCCGGUAAACGGCGGCCGUAACUAUAACGGUCCUAAGGUAGCGAAAUUCCUUGUCGGGUAAGUUCCGACCUGCACGAAUGGCGUAAUGAUGGCCAGGCUGUCUCCACCCGAGACUCAGUGAAAUUGAACUCGCUGUGAAGAUGCAGUGUACCCGCGGCAAGACGGAAAGACCCCGUGAACCUUUACUAUAGCUUGACACUGAACAUUGAGCCUUGAUGUGUAGGAUAGGUGGGAGGCUUAGAAGUGUGGACGCCAGUCUGCAUGGAGCCGACCUUGAAAUACCACCCUUUAAUGUUUGAUGUUCUAACGUUGACCCGUAAUCCGGGUUGCGGACAGUGUCUGGUGGGUAGUUUGACUGGGGCGGUCUCCUCCUAAAGAGUAACGGAGGAGCACGAAGGUUGGCUAAUCCUGGUCGGACAUCAGGAGGUUAGUGCAAUGGCAUAAGCCAGCUUGACUGCGAGCGUGACGGCGCGAGCAGGUGCGAAAGCAGGUCAUAGUGAUCCGGUGGUUCUGAAUGGAAGGGCCAUCGCUCAACGGAUAAAAGGUACUCCGGGGAUAACAGGCUGAUACCGCCCAAGAGUUCAUAUCGACGGCGGUGUUUGGCACCUCGAUGUCGGCUCAUCACAUCCUGGGGCUGAAGUAGGUCCCAAGGGUAUGGCUGUUCGCCAUUUAAAGUGGUACGCGAGCUGGGUUUAGAACGUCGUGAGACAGUUCGGUCCCUAUCUGCCGUGGGCGCUGGAGAACUGAGGGGGGCUGCUCCUAGUACGAGAGGACCGGAGUGGACGCAUCACUGGUGUUCGGGUUGUCAUGCCAAUGGCACUGCCCGGUAGCUAAAUGCGGAAGAGAUAAGUGCUGAAAGCAUCUAAGCACGAAACUUGCCCCGAGAUGAGUUCUCCCUGACCCUUUAAGGGUCCUGAAGGAACGUUGAAGACGACGACGUUGAUAGGCCGGGUGUGUAAGCGCAGCGAUGCGUUGAGCUAACCGGUACUAAUGAACCGUGAGGCUUAACCUUACAACGCCGAAGGUGUUU
rnacentral:rRNA from 1 species